CAGAGUAGAAAGCAGCGAGUUCAAAGUGUCGGGCAUACAGGGAGUUGAUGCCCGAACGAAAACUCCCCGAGCGCAAAUCCUUUCUGCGUUUGGAAACGGUUGCUGUGCUGCUUUCGCAUCCCGCUG
rnacentral:ncRNA from 1 species